rfam:Daucus carota subsp. sativus cultivar DH1 chromosome 6, whole genome shotgun sequence.
ACGACCUUACUUGAACAGGAUCUGUUCUAUAGGCUCGUACCUCUGUAUCCUUGAUUUCAAAGGAGGCAGGUGACCAAGUCUGGUGGAUGAAACAUGACUGCAUGACCAGAGCGUGAUUAACAGCCAGUUUGGUCAGUUGACCAUUCAAGUAGUAGAGGAUCGUUCUCAGCCGGAGUCCCUGGCUGGGGUGGUCUUGCAGUUGUCUGACAGACU